rnacentral:lncRNA from 1 species
AUGAGUCUACAGCAAAGCAGCCUUUGCUUCAAAUGGAAGCCUCUGUUUCACAUGCUCCUGCCUUUCUAUAAAAAAUUCCAACCUCGGUUUUAAGUGUCACACUGCUACGUUCUCUAUUUUGGAUAUGUAAAGGGAUAGUCUAUUUUUGUAUUAUCCUUGUUAACUCAUCCAUUAAUAUUUGAACUUCCAUCCCUUUCUCCAAUAAAAUCUAUUCUUUUAUGAAAAAAAGAAAAUUAUAGAAUACAAAUACAAUUCAAGUAGCUAAAGCUCUUUCCUUCUUGAAGUUUUUUUAUUGUUGCAAGUUGCAUCAGUGGUUGAGAGGAAGAUUACACAUGGUUGGCACUAAAUAACACAAUGAUGAAGAUUUGCAUACCACUUUCAAAUAUACUGACGGGGAGAUCCUUCUGUGAGUGAUUGAUUGCAGGGUUCAGAAGCACAUAAACCGGACUUUCAUUGAUAUCCAUCAACUCUUUAUGAAUAUGCAUAUCAGAUUCCUCUGCAUCGCUUCCAGUUGAAUACCAUCCCAAUAUGUAGAAGUGUGGAAAAACCUUCUUAUCUG